GGCGCCCUUCAGACUGUGCCGCAUUUGUCGUACUCCAAAUCGGCCUGUCGGAUGGCUCUGCACAGACACACGGCGAGUAUCAUCACCAGAAUCUGGCGGGAAGAAACCCAGGUUUGAAUAAAAAAGAGAGAAAGAAUCGGUGGUUCAUGCUCGUCUUCGGCCAACCCCCUGCUGGGAAUGCGACAAAUCCCUGGUAUGCAGUGAUGAUUGUGAGUGAUAGUACUACGUGCGAACCAGCGAGAUUGUCCCGAUAGUUUACGGGCAGUUUCCCCAUUUCAUACCGUGACCAACCAAGUGGCAUUCAUUUUACCGGGACUAGCGCCAGGAUUGAAUCCCGUGGAUGCCAACAUUCCAGACACGUACUGGAUGUUCGUGAGCCAGGUCGGCAUGUGGUGAACAUUCUUCUAAUUUA